rnacentral:rRNA from 1 species
UACGUAGGGGGCUAGCGUUGUCCGGAUUUACUGGGCGUAAAGGGCGCGUAGGCGGUCAGCACAAGUCAGUUGUGAAAUCUCCGGGCUUAACUCGGAAAGGUCAACUGAUACUGUGCGACUAGAGUGCGGAAGGGGCAACUGGAAUUCUCGGUGUAGCGGUGAAAUGCGUAGAUAUCGAGAGGAACACCUGCGGCGAAGGCGGGUUGCUGGGCCGACACUGACGCUGAUGCGCGAAAGCCAGGGAGCAAACGGG